GAAAGGUCCUGGAAAGGCCUGCUACAGUGGGUGAUAGCCCCGUAGGCGAAAGAGUUGGUACGGUACUAAGGAAGCGAGAAGUAGAGCGGGACACGUGGAAUCCUGUUCGAAGACGGGGGGACCAUCCUCCAAGGCUAAAUACUCGUGAUCGACCGAUAGUGAACCAGUACCGUGAGGGAAAGGCGAAAAGAACCCCGGGAGGGGAGUGAAAUAGAACCUGAAACCGCAUGCAUACAAACAGUAGGAGCCUCAUCAGAGGUGACUGCGUACCUUUUGCAUAAUGGGUCAGCGACUUACAUUCUGUGGCGAGCUUAACCGAAUAGGGGAGGCGCAGCGAAAGCGAGUUCGAAAUGAGCGUUCAGUCGCAGGGUGUAGACCCGAAACCAGAUGAGCUAUCCAUGGCCAGGUUGAAGGUGUGGUAACACACACUGGAGGACCGAACCGACUAGUGUUGCAAAAUUAGCGGAUGAGCUGUGGAUAGGGGUGAAAGGCCAAACAAAUCUGGAGAUAGCUGGUUCUCCCCGAAAACUAUUGAGGUAGUGCCUCGUGUGUCGCUCCAGGGGGUAGAGCACUGUUUUGGCUAGGGGGACAUGGAGUCUUACCAAACCAAGGCAAACUCCGAAUACCUGGAAGCGUAAGCACGGGAGACAGAGCACCGGGUGCUAACGUCCGGACUCAAAAGGGAAACAACCCAGACCGCCGGCUAAGGUCCCAAAUAACAGCUAAGUGGAAAACGAAGUGGAAAGGCCGUGACAACCAGGAAGUUGGCUUAGAAGCAGCCAUCCUUUAAAGAAAGCGUAAUAGCUCACUGGUCGAGUCCUUCUGCGCGGAAGAUGUAACGGGGCUAAGCUGUUAACCGAAGCCGCGGAUGCGCUGGUUAUCCAGUGCGUGGUAGGGGAGCGUUCUGUAAGUCUGCGAAGGCGGUUCGAGAGGACUGCUGGAGAUAUCAGAAGUGCGAAUGCUGACAUGAGUAACGUUAAAGCAGGUGAAAAGCCUGCUCGCCGUAAGCCCAAGGAUUCCUGCUCUACGUUCAUCGGAGCAGGGUGAGUCGGCUCCUAAGGUCAGGCCGAAAGGCGUAGCCGAUGGGAAUCAGGUUAAUAUUCCUGAACCUGCGUCAGAUGCGAUGGGGGGACGGAGCAUGGAAGAUCAUCCGGGUGUUGGAAGUCCCGGUUGUUGAGCGUAGGAGGUCUGCAGGCAAAUCCGCAGACGCAUCUCCAAGGCAAAGACACGUGCCGCCACGGCGGCGAAGUGAUCGGAAGUGCUUCCAAGAAAAGCCUCUAAGCCCCAGUCUGACGCGGACCGUACCGCAAACCGACACUGGUGGGCGAGCUGAAUAUGCUCAGGCGCUUGAGAGAACUCGGGAGAAGGAACUCGGCAAAUUGACACCGUAACUUCGGAAGAAGGUGUGCCGUAGUACCGUGAGAGGAGAGACACCUUGAGCGGGAAACGGUCUCAGAGAAUAGGUGGCUGCGACUGUUUAUUAAAAACACAGCACUCUGCAAAGUCGAAAGACGACGUAUAGGGUGUGAUGCCUGCCCGGUGCUGGAAGAUUAAUUGAUGGGGUGAGAGCCCUUGAUCGAAGUCCCAGUAAACGGCGGCCGUAACUAUAACGGUCCUAAGGUAGCGAAAUUCCUUGUC
rnacentral:rRNA from 1 species